rnacentral:rRNA from 1 species
AUUGAACGCUGGAGGCAGGCCUAACACAUGCAAGUCGAACGAGUGGCGGACGGGUGAGUAAUGUCUGGGAAACUGCCUGAUGGAGGGGGAUAACUACUGGAAACGGUAGCUAAUACCGCAUACCAUCGGAUGUGCCCAGAUGGGAUUAGCGUGUUGGGGGGGUAACGGCUCACCAAGGCGACGAUCCCUAGCUGGUCUGAGAGGAUGACGCGCUACACUGGCAGUGAGCAACGGUCCAGACGCCUACGGGAGGCAGCAGUGGGGAAGAGUGUACAAUGGGAGCAAGCCUGAUGCAGCCAUGCCGCGUGUAUGAAGAAGGCAGUCGGGUUGUAAAGUACGUUCAGCGGGGAGGCGUUACCCGCAGAAGAAGCACCGGCUAACUCCGUGCCAGCAGCCGCGGUUAGAC